rnacentral:rRNA from 1 species
CGUAGGGGCUAGCGUUGUCCGGAAUCAUUGGGCGUAAAGCGCGCGUAGGCGGCCCGGUAAGUCCGUUGUAAAAGUCAAAGGCUCAACCUUUGAAUGCCGAUGGAUACUGCCGGGCUAGAGUCCGGAAGAGGCGAGUAGAAUUCCUGGUGUAGCGGUGGAAUGCGCAGAUAUCAGGAGGAAUACCCAUAGCGAAGGCAGCUCGCUGGGACGGUACUGACGCUGAGGCGCGAAAGCGUGGGGAGCGAACAGGAUU